rnacentral:tRNA from 1 species
GGGGAGAACAACAAAAUUUUAAUAUUAUUAUUUUGUCACCUUAGGUCGAUCGGGUAUCUCACGUUCUUAAUUCUUUAAAGAAUUUCUUUUCCUAAGUUUUUCUAGGUCACACCCAUUUUCCUGGGCCAUUAGCUCAGGUGGUUAGAGCGCACCCCUGAUAAGGGUGAGGUCCCUGGUUCAGUCCAGGAUGGCCCAUAUCUCUAUGUUGGGGUAUAGUCAGUGGUAGAGCGCCUGCUUUGCAAGCAGGAUGUCAGCGGUUCGAGUCCGCUUACCUCCACUGAUUACCACCUCCUCCAUAAUGUGUAGAAAGGAAAAUUUUGAGUUGUGACUAUAGUUCUGAACGAAUCUAGCUUCCUAAUAAAAUCAUUAAGAUGCUGGACUCAUUGAAUUAAUUUCAUUGUUUUCAGAGAACCUUGACAACUGCAUAGAUUAUUUUUAAAGACAAUAAGCAUCUUUAGUGAUGCAGAUUUAUUAUUUGUGCAAAUGCAUUAAUAACAAUUCUAUUAAGCUGAUGCUUCA